rnacentral:rRNA from 1 species
UACGUAGGUGGCAAGCGUUGUCCGGAUUUACUGGGCGUAAAGAGCGCGCAGGCGGUCGUUCAAGUCGCGUGUGAAAGCCCCCCGGCUCAACUGGGGAGGGUCACGCGAUACUGAUCGACUCGAAGGCAGGAGAGGGUAGUGGAAUUCCCGGUGUAGUGGUGAAAUGCGUAGAUAUCGGGAGGAACACCAGUGGCGAAGGCGACUACCUGGCCUGUUCUUGACGCUGAGGAGCGAAA